rnacentral:rRNA from 1 species
CAGGUGCUAAUACCGGAUAAGAAAGCGGAUCGCAUGAUCAGCUUUAAAAGGCGGCGUAAGCUGUCGCUAUGGGAUGGCCCCGCGGUGCAUUAGCUAGUUGGUAAGGUAAAGGCUUACCAAGGCGAUGAUGCAUAGCCGAGUUGAGAGACUGAUCGGCCACAUUGGGACUGAGACACGGCCCAAACUCCUACGGGAGGCAGCAGA